rnacentral:lncRNA from 1 species
CUCGGCAUCUGGGCCUGCGAGGGGAGUGUUGGGUGCUGCGACAGACCUUGGGAUCCUCAGAGGCUGAGGAGGCCUUCUCUAGCCAAGGCCGGUCGAAACCACCUUGUUUGUGAUAGCCACACGAAUAACGGAGCUUUACAAGAUCCCUUAUACCCAAAAUAGAGGUGGCAGCAUUGGCUAGCAUCUCUGCGCCCCUUCGCCCUGCAUUCCGGCCUCUUCCUUUAGCCUCGGCGCGGCUUGCGUUCCGCGUGUACCAAGGGAAGUGGCGGCCGACCUGAGCGCGCUUUGGCGGGUGGAAGUGGUGACUUUGUUGUCCUGUGUGGACGAAUGUGUAAUAUAAAGUGACCCUCAAGGAAUCUGGAGAGGGCUGCUUUACAGUAUUUGAAGAACACAGGGCUGUGGACCCUAUCGGUUCCCAAAUGAAAGCUCCCCGGGGAGCGUGUUUUUGCCAGUAUGGGGAAGUAGGGCGGAGGCAUAGGAAUGACCGCGAGAGUGGCUGCUUUCAUAGCUCCGCUUGCGAAACUCCUGCCCGGCCUUUGACACCGCCACGGCUUUCAGUAAUCUGGAAAAUCCCUAGUUUCCAAAAAUAGUCUUAGGGCGAGGACUUGACAGAGGUAAUUUGAUUAUGCCUGGGAGUCUCUAUUCAUACAUGGUUACCUACCGCGGGUAGGGUGAGGUCAACCUCGUGUUUUUUGUUUUUUUUCCUGUGAUAUUAGCUAGCAAUUUCCAGCGUUUCCUGAACCUUGAAGUAAAAACAAUGAUACUGAUCUAAACUACUAGAAUCUAGGUUGGAAGGAAAGGAAUGCAUCACGUUUUACUCUUGACGCUCAGAAAGCGAUACCCCAAAGACAGAGGCUUUAGAAGCUGCCUCAUAAUGCAGGUCCCCCAACCUUGACUUGUUGCUCCCACUUUUCCCAAGUGCAGGGAGGUACUCUCUGAAAUUUCCUUUCCUGACUAGAGAAGCCUCUUUGUAGAAGAAUCAAUCGCAUUCCUCCCCUCGCUGAAAUCUCGUAUCCUAUUUCAAAAAGACUCAGAAAUGCAGCCAUUCCUGGAGGGACUUUUUCACAAGAUUACUCAAAAGAAAAUUAUUUACUAAUUUCUGUCCAUUCAUUGUUCCUAAUAAUCAUUUGCUGCUCCUCAAAAUAAAUGUCUACAUUUCUCAUCUACCCUUUCCCCUAUGAAAAAAAGAUAUAAAAUCUUCUGUACUCCAUUAAGCUACUGGGUAAUCAUCCUCCUGCUUUUACCCCGGUGUUAUGUAUCCCUUUUCUCCUGUUAAUCGCCUGUUAUCAGUUGAUUUUUUUUUUCUUUUUUUUUAGAUAGAGUCUCACUCUGUCGCCCAAGCUGAAGUGCAGUGGCGCGAUCUCGGCUCACUGCAGCCUCCGCCUCCGGGGUUCAAGCGAUUCUCCCACCUCAGCCUCCCCAGUAGCUGGGAUUACAGGCACACACCACCACGUCCAGCUAAUUUUUGUAUUUUUGUAGAGACGGGGUUUUGCCAUGUUGGCUAGGCUGGUCUUGAACUCCUGACCUCAGGUGAUCCGCCCGCCUCGGCCUCCCAAAAUGCUGGGAUUACAGGCAUCCAAAGCGCUGGAAUUACAGGCAUGAGCCACCGCACCCGGCCUUAUCAGUUGAUUAAGUGAACCUUCAGUGGGCAAAGUUGUUUUAAAAUGUACUGAUACUUGAGCCUUGCCUGCAGAGGUUGAUGUCACUGAUUUAAGGUGGGCCCAGCCAGUGGUUCAGUUUUGCCUGUCUUCGAGUGAUUGGAAUGUACAGCCAAGAGAGUGUAAUUAUGGUGCUGGCAGAAGUAUUAACCUAUCUGGAUGUCACUGUCUUCACUUUCUGACUAGGCUGCUUCCAGGGAAUCUUUCCACCUCAAUAUUUAUGAGAUAUCUAUAAUUUUAUAACAAACUUUUAAAGGAGCCUCGGUUUCCUUAAACACAAUUGAUGACACCAGUUUUCUGGUUUUCUUCCAUUUUUGUUUAUAGAGCCAGGGUCUCACUGUGUUGCCCAGGCUGGCCUUGAACUCCUGAACUCAAGGGAUCUUCCCACCUCAGCCACCUGAGUAGCUGGGACUAUAAGUGGCACACCACUGUGCCUGGUCAGUUUUCUGGUUUUGAUAAUCUAUGGUUGUGUGAGAUAUUAUCAUUGGGGAAAGUUGGAGGAAUACAUAGGAGUAGUCUAUCUUUGCAACUUCCAUGUCUUAUUUCCAAAUAAAAAGUAAAAACCCUCAUUGAUUAUGUACUUCAUUAAAACACUGGACUUCAAUGAAAUCAUCACCUAUAUUUGUAAUGACUUGAGAGUAAUAUAAUUUAACUUUUUUUUUGACUUCUGAACUUUUUAUUGGCCUCCUGCUCCCCAAAGGGUACCCUGCUUCUGAUGGCUUAAUGUCUCAGAACUUGGGUGUCGUUGGUCUCAGAUACCACUUUGCCAUCCACUAUCCAGCAGAUAGUGGUCUUUUGGAUGGUUUGCAUGGAGUUGCUGCUGUCCAGGGCAUCACCAAGAUUGAAGUCCUUGCCAUCUUCCAGCAGGCGGCGGUAGGUGGCGAUCUCAGCCUCUAGCUUGACCCUGAUGUUCAGCAGGGCCUCGUACUCCUGGGCCUGGCACUGUCCCUCUGCCCAGGCCUGUGCCAGCUCUGACUCCAGGUGCAGCAGGAUCCCGUUGAGCUGCUCCAUCUGCAGGGCGUGGCAGGCCUCCACCUCCCUCAGGCUGUUCUCCAAGCUGGCCUUCAGAUUUCUCAUGGAGUCCAGGUUGAUCUCCAAGGACUGGACUGUAUGUCUCAGCUCCGUGAGCGUUAUAGCAGCUCCAACCUCGACGGACUGCGUGGUGACCCCUGUGUUGCUCUCCUCAAUCUGUUAAGACCAGUACUUGUCCAGCACCUAUUGGUUCUUCAUGCCAGCUCAUCAUAUUGGGCCCGGAUGUCUGCCAUUAUCUUGGUGAGGUCCUGAGAUUUGGGGACAUCUACCUCCACAGUCAACCCAGAGCUGGCAGUCUGGGCUUGUAGGCCUUUUACUUCCUCUUCGUGGUUCUUCUUCAUGAAGAGCAGCUCCUCCUUGAGAGCCUCAAUCUAUCUCCAGCUGCAGCCGAGUGACAUUAGUGUCAUGGAUUUUGUUCCCAUGGAUGUUGUUCUUCAGAGGCUGGCACGUGGCCAGCUCUGUCUCAUACUUGACUCUAAAGUCAUCAGCAGCAAGAUGGGCAUUGUCAGUCUGCAGAACGCAUUGUCCACAAUAUUUGUGAAGAUCUGAGCCCUCAGGUCCUCAAUGGUCUUGAAAUAAUGGCUCCAGUCUCUGACCUGGGGUCCCUGCUUCUCCAGGUGCUCCCGGAUUUUGCUCUCUAGCCUCCGGUUCUCGGUCUCCAGGCUCCUCACUCUGUCCAGUUUUCCUGACUCUGAUUCUGCGUGGGACAACCAGUGAAAAUUGCAGGUGAAGAGAAGAAAUGCGUAUUUAUUCCUCCACUGGGAAAAAAAAUACCAUCCAAAGCUACAUGACUUGAGAGACAAGGUCUCACUAUGUUGCCCAGGCUGGCCUCGAACUCCCGGGCUUCAGCAGUCCUCCCGCCUCACCCUCCGAUGUAGCUAGGACUACAGGACCGCGACCCGGCGCUGCCUAAGAACUGUUUUUAAACGUGAAAGCCACGGCUAUCAUUUGCUUUUUGCUCUGCUCUUCAUCUUCUGGAUAAACCUCGUAACACACUGCUUGUUUUGGGUGGUAGUCUGCUGCCUACGCCCCGUCAGACAAGUGGCCUGAGUCCCCCGCAACCCCUGCAGGUCCGGCCGCCGGCGCCAAGCCUCAAGGCAUCCAAGCCAGGAACGAUCGCGGUCAGCUCUGCCACGGAACAUGUGCAAGACCCGGCAGCAGGUUCCGGGGGAGGCGAAUUGAUUUCACAACGGUCGAGAAGGAGGACCCCGCCCACUUCGUCAUUUCUCGGAAGCCCAGGGACUCGCCGGAAGAGCGGCUCAAAAGCCGGAAAACUGGCAAAUCCGAGUCUCCCGGCGCAUGCGCGGCGCAAUCGGCUUCGCGUGGUUGCAGUAGAGAGGAUCCCUCCGCCAGCCACUGCAUCCGGCGGCCGGAUCUAACUUACCCGCUAGCGUUUUACCCUUGCGCGGCCGUGGCGUAGGGCGGUCUUUUCCCUUGGUCCUCCGCGGCGCCGCCUCUUGUGACGUAAGCCGCAGAAUCCUCUGUCUUAGUUCGGCUCUAUUGCCGCGAGCUUGACUCUUCCUGGGUCUGAGGAAAAGUAAAAGUAAUUUUGUCAUUUCCUGAAACUUCAAGUUAAACCUUUAAGCUGUUCAUUUCCUAAAAGGGUGAAAACGCGGGCACCCCUCGAGCUAGUUCAUCGCCUUUUAACCUGUUGUUGGAUCUUUCCAGAUCACCACACCACAUCACCCAGCCACUCUGCCCAAUGGGAGGGCAGACAGUGUUCCAGUGUAGGAGGAAGGGGUGUAAGGUGCGGGCAGUUUGUGAGGAGGGCACCAACGAGAGCUACUGUGAGAAAGUCUGCAUGGUCAAAAAGUGGAUUACCAAGAACAAAGCAUCAUAAUGUUGUCCAGUGGACCCCAGGUUGAAAAGUCAGGUUCUGGAAUUGGCUGUCUGGAUUAAAAUACUGGUUCCAUCACUGAGAAGCUGUGUGACCUUGCGAAAAUUACUUAAUCUCUUUGUGUUUCAGUUUUCUGAUCUGUAAAAUGAAGUCAAUAAUGGUGAGAAAAUGAGAAAAAUGCAUGCAAGCUUAGCAUAUUAUUAGAGUGAUAAAUGCUAACAAUUAUAAAUCAUGUCAGGGCCUCUACAUUAUUUUAGCAUUUACUUUCCUCUGACUAUCUGUACAUUACUGGAUAAAAAUAUUUUAUUGAUCACCAGAUAUUAAACUCCUGUGAAUUUCUGUGUGUUGAUGGUGAAGUUGGUGGGAGGAUGGUGAUGAGACUUACUUGAAGACAGGAAUGUAUGUGAGUUGACCAUGUCAGUAAGCUGAGAUACUGUCAAUUUCUGAAGGAUUCCUCUGGCUGAG